UCUGCAACUUCUGUCCAAGACCAAUUGAUGGCAUCGGGUGUGAUAGGAGGGCAAAUGAUGCCGUGGGCACCUCGCCAGCCAGGCAUUUGGCCACCGAUGCAAACACAGAUGCCACCGCCGAUGCCGUGGGGAUUUCCUCCUCGCGGGCAGUCACAAUCACCAGGAUUGCCCUCACACUCACCAGGAUCAGUACGUUAAGGUUCGGGCUCACAUCAUGCUAGUCCGCCUCCGGAUCCGAGCACGUUUAUGGACUUAUUGAUGAACACAAGUGGCGGCGGCUCCAAUGACCCACCAACGGAAUAAAUUAAUAUGGAGGCUUAUGUGGAACUUACUAUCAUUGCGUUUUGUAUGGACUUUAACUUGUUUUAGAUGGAUUUGAACUUCUUUCUUAUGGACUUGAACUUGUAUGAAUAUUGAAUAUGGUGCUUGUGUUAUGUUA